rnacentral:rRNA from 1 species
AACGAACGCUGGCGGCAGGCCUAACACAUGCAAGUCGAACGAGAUCUUCGGGUCUAGUGGCGCACGGGUGCGUAACGCGUGGGAAUCUGCCCUUUGGUUAGGAAUAACAGUUGGAAACGACUGCUAAUACCGGAUGAUGACGAAAGUCCAAAGAUUUAUCGCCAGAGGAUGAGCCCGCGUAGGAUUAGCUAGUUGGUGUGGUAAAGGCGCACCAAGGCGACGAUCCUUAGCUGGUCUGAGAGGAUGAUCAGCCACACUGGGACUGAGACACGGCCCAGACUCCUACGGGAGGCAGCAGUGGGGAAUAUUGGACAAUGGGCGAAAGCCUGAUCCAGCAAUGCCGCGUGAGUGAUGAAGGCCUUAGGGUUGUAAAGCUCUUUUACCCGGGAUGAUAAUGACAGUACCGGGAGAAUAAGCUCCGGCUAACUCCGUGCCAGCAGCCGCCGUAA